rnacentral:rRNA from 1 species
UAACGGCGAGUGAAGCGGCAAAAGCUCAAAUUUGAAAUCUGGUACCUUCGGUGCCCGAGUUGUAAUUUGGAGAGGGCAACUUUGGGGCCGUUCCUUGUCUAUGUUCCUUGGAACAGGACGUCAUAGAGGGUGAGAAUCCCGUGUGGCGAGGAGUGCGGUUCUUUGUAAAGUGCCUUCGAAGAGUCGAGUUGUUUGGGAAUGCAGCUCUAAGUGGGUGGUAAAUUCCAUCUAAAGCUAAAUAUUGGCGAGAGACCGAUAGCGAACAAGUACAGUGAUGGAAAGAUGAAAAGAACUUUGAAAAGAGAGUGAAAAAGUACGUGAAAUUGUUGAAAGGGAAGGGCAUUUGAUCAGACAUGGUGUUUUGUGCCCUCUGCUCCUUGUGGGUAGGGGAAUCUCGCAUUUCACUGGGCCAGCAUCAGUUUUGGUGGCAGGAUAAAUCCAUAGGAAUGUAGCUUGCCUCGGUAAGUAUUAUAGCCUGUGGGAAUACUGCCAGCUGGGACUGAGGACUGCGACGUAAGUCAAGGAUGCUGGCAUAAUGGUUAUAUGCCGCCCGUCUUGAA